AGUGAACGCUGGCGGCGUGCUUAACACAUGCAAGUCGAACGAGAACGGAAUAUAGUUUGCUAUAUUUGUCAGCUAAGUGGCGCACGGGUGAGUAAUAUAUAGAUAACCUGCCCUUAAGAAAGGAAUAACAGUUGGAAACGACUGCUAAUGCCCUAUAUGCCUUUAAUACAUAAGUAUGCAAGGGAAACGCUUUAGUGCUUAAGGAUGGGUCUGUAUGGUAUCAGCUUGUUGGUGAGGUAAUGGCUCACCAAGGCUAUGACGCCUAACUGGUUUGAGAGGAUGAUCAGUCACACUGGAACUGAGACACGGUCCAGACUCCUACGGGAGGCAGCAGUGGGGGAUAUUGCACAAUGGACGAAAGUCUGAUGCAGCAACGCCGCGUGGAGGAUGACACAUUUCGGUGCGUAAACUCCUUUUAUACAGGAAGAUAAUGACGGUACUAUAUGAAUAAGCACCGGCUAACUCCGUGCCAGCCGCCGCCGUAA
rnacentral:rRNA from 1 species